rnacentral:rRNA from 1 species
GGGUGCGAUCAUACCAGCAUUAAUGCACGGGAUCGCAUCAGAACUCCGCAGUUAAGCGGACUUGCGCUAGAGUAGUACUGGGAUGGGUGACCUCCUGGGAAGUCCUAGUGUUGCACCCU